rnacentral:rRNA from 1 species
UACGAGAGGCCCAAACGUUAUUCGGAAUUACUGGGCUUAAAGAGUCCGUAGGCGGCGCAGAAAGUAGGGUGUGAAAGCCCUCGGCUUAACCGAGGAAUUGCGCUCUAAACUACUGUGCUUGAGGAACCUAGAGGUGAGCGGAACUGAUGGUGGAGCGGUGAAAUGCGUUGAUAUCAUCAGGAACACCGGAGGCGAAGGGCGGCUCACUGGGGGGUUAUCUGAGCGCUGAGGGACGAAAGCCAAGGGGAGCGAACGGG